GAGUUUGAUCCUGGCUCAGGACGAACGCUGGCGGCGCGCCUAACACAUGCAAGUCGAACGGACUUUAAGGAGCUUGCUCUUUAAAGUUAGUGGCGGACGGGUGAGUAACACGUGAGCAACCUGCCUUUCAGAGGGGGACAACAGUUGGAAACGACUGCUAAUACCGCAUAACGUUACGCGGAGGCAUCUCCAUGUAACCAAAGAUUUAUCGCUGAAAGAUGGGCUCGCGUCUGAUUAGAUAGUUGGUGAGGUAACGGCCCACCAAGUCGACGAUCAGUAGCCGGACUGAGAGGUUGAACGGCCACAUUGGGACUGAGACACGGCCCAGACUCCUACGGGAGGCAGCAGUGGGGGAUAUUGGACAAUGGGGGCAACCCUGAUCCAGCGACGCCGCGUGAGGGAAGAAGGUUUUCGGAUUGUAAACCUCUGUUGACAGGGAAGAAAAUGACAGUACCUGUUUAGAAAGCCACGGCUAACUACGUGCCAGCAGCCGCGGUAAUACGUAGGUGGCAAGCGUUGUCCGGAAUUACUGGGUGUAAAGGGAGCGUAGGCGGGGCGCCAAGUCAGAAGUGAAAAUUAUGGGCUCAACUCAUAACCUGCUUUUGAAACUGGUGCUCUUGAGUGAAGUAGAGGCAAGCGGAAUUCCUAGUGUAGCGGUGAAAUGCGUAGAUAUUAGGAGGAACACCAGUGGCGAAGGCGGCUUGCUGGGCUUUUACUGACGCUGAGGCUCGAAAGCGUGGGGAGCAAACAGGAUUAGAUACCCUGGUAGUCCACGCUGUAAACGAUGAUUACUAGGUGUGGGGGGAUUGACCCCUUCCGUGCCGCAGUUAACACAAUAAGUAAUCCACCUGGGGAGUACGACCGCAAGGUUGAAACUCAAAGGAAUUGACGGGGGCCCGCACAAGCAGUGGAGUAUGUGGAUUAAUUCGAAGCAACGCGAAGAACCUUACCGGGUCUUGACAUCGAGUGACCGCUCUAGAGAUAGAGCUUUCUCUUCGGAGACACGAAGACAGGUGGUGCAUGGUUGUCGUCAGCUCGUGUCGUGAGAUGUUGGGUUAAGUCCCGCAACGAGCGCAACCCUUAUCCCCAGUAGCCAGCGGCGUGGCCGGGCACUCUGAGGAGACUGCCAGGGACAACCUGGAGGAAGGUGGGGAUGACGUCAAAUCAUCAUGCCCCUUAUGACCUGGGCUACACACGUGCUACAAUGGCGUAACAGAGGGAAGCAAACCCGCGAGGGGGAGCGAACCCCAAAAAUAACGUCCCAGUUCGGACUGAAGUCUGCAACCCGACUUCACGAAGCUGGAAUCGCUAGUAAUCGCGAAUCAGCAUGUCGCGGUGAAUACGUUCCCGGGUCUUGUACACACCGCCCGUCACACCAUGGGAGUCAGAAACGCCCGAAGUCAGUGACCCAACCGCAAGGAGGGAGCUGCCGAAGGCGGGUCUGGUAACUGGGGUGAAGUCGUAACAAGGUAGCCGUAUCGGAAGGUGCGGCUGGAUCACCUCCUU
rnacentral:rRNA from 1 species